GAAAAUGUAAUCCCUUGUAGCUGCUAACUAUAAGUCUUGCAUCUUUGUAACAUUUUCU
rnacentral:tRNA from 1 species